GACGGGUCGCUUACAACCAUUACGCCAGCAUCCUAGCCGAAGCGCGGACCUCAGUCCCGGCUGGCCGUAUUACACCCUGGGCUAUAACACCUCCACCGAAGUGGAGGCCACAUUCCCAGAGCCUUUAUCCGGCCGCCGAAACUGAUGCUGGCCUGUCCAAACUGAGUAAACCGGUCAGAAGACCGGCCGAACAGUUUAAACAAGUCUGAUUGCAAGCGCUUCCCUUUCAACAAUUUCACGUGCUUUUUAACUCUCUUUCCAAAGUGCUUUUCAUCUUUCGAUCACUCUACUUGUGCGCUAUCGGUCUCUCGCCAAUAUUUAGCUUUAGAAGAAAUUUACCUCCCAUUUAGAGCUGCAUUCCCAAACAACUCGACUCGUCGAAGGAGAUUUACAUAGGGUGCCAUUUCCUGUCACAUACGGGAUUCUCACCCUCUAUGACGUCCUGUUCCAAGGAACUUAGACAGGCGGCUUCCCCAAAUCAUCCUCUACAAAUUACAAUGCGAACCCGAAGGCUAGCUUUCAAAUUUGAGCUGUUGCCGCUUCACUCGCCGUUACUAGGGC
rnacentral:rRNA from 1 species